GACGAACGAGGGAGGCGUGCUUAACACAUGCAAGUCGAACGGAAAGGCCCUGCUUUUGUGGGGUGCUCGAGUGGCGAACGGGUGAGUAACACGUGAGUAACCUGCCCUUGACUUUGGGAUAACUUCAGGAAACUGGGGCUAAUACCGGAUAGGAGCUCCUGCUGCAUGGUGGGGGUUGGAAAGUUUCGGCGGUUGGGGAUGGACUCGCAGCUUAUCAGCUUGUUGGUGGGGUAGUGGCUUACCAAGGCUUUGACGGGUAGCCGGCCUGAGAGGGUGACCGGCCACAUUGGGACUGAGAUACGGCCCAGACUCCUACGGGAGGCAGCAGUGGGGAAUAUUGCACAAUGGGCGGAAGCCUGAUGCAGCAACGCCGCGUGCGGGAUGACGGCCUUCGGGUUGUAAACCGCUUUCGCCUGUGACGAAGCGUGAGUGACGGUAAUGGGUAAAGAAGCACCGGCUAACUACGUG
rnacentral:rRNA from 1 species